rnacentral:lncRNA from 1 species
AAAAGCAUUUUCUACCAGAUAUCUUGCCUCUAAAGAAAUGGAACCAAUUUCCUGAGGGAAAUUCUGACUUCUAGAAUGCAUGCUGACAUCCAUAAUAAAAUAAAUAUUCCUUAUUCUAGAAUUUGGGGUGGCCAGAAGUUGGCUAUCAGCCCUUCCCUACUGAAAUUGAAACCUUUCCCUGUUGUGAUCUAUGAUGUUUCUAGGCAGAAUUUCUACUCAAAGAGAAACCCAGAGAAUAAGUGAUAAAUUUUUUUUCUUUUUGGUACCAGGGAUCAAACUUGGGACCUUGUUCUUUCAAGGCAGGCAGCAGAACCACUGAGCUAAAUCCCUAGCAAUGAUAAAAUUGUACACCAGGAGAGAAAGUCUUGGCUAUACAGAUGGUGUUCUUUGUUUUUUGUUUGUUUGUUUUUGUACUGAGGAUGGAACCCAGGGUGUACACUACACUCCCAGGGUGUACACAGGGUGUACAUUACACUCCCUACCCCUUUUUUAUUUUCAUAUUCUCAGGGUCUUGCUAAGUCACUAAGUUGCCCAGGCUGGCUUGAAUUUGAGAUCCUCCUGCCUCAGACUCCCAAAGUGCUGGAUUGCAGGUGUGUGCCACCAUGCCUGGCUCAAUAGAAGAUACACUGACAACAGAAGAUGGAGAAGGCCAUACAUGGUGAUAUGCACCUGUAAUCCCAGCACUUGGGAGGCUGAGGCAGAAAAAUUGCUAUGAGUCAGAGGCCAGCCUGAGAUAUAGUGAAUGCAGAAUUUUAAUGUGGAAAAAGAAAAAGUUGUAAAGCAGGAAGCUUUACUGAAGAGGAGGAGUCAUUACCUGAGUCAGCCAGACCUGUGCUCAUACCUGUUAAUGGAAAACAACAGGGAUCAGACCCUGAGAACAGCAGAUUAGCCUCAGAUCCCACUAACUUUGUCUUGAAAAAUUAAUUCAAUGCACUUAACCUUUUUGUUCUUGGUUUGCAGCCAGAGUUAAAAUAACUUGCGUUUUUUAGGACACUGAUCCGAAAUGACUUGGGAAAUGUGUAGGAAAAAUACUGAAAGGAAGUCUGCCAGUAUGAUUUUUUCUCCUGCCUUCUUAUACUUUUAUUAUUAAAAUUUGCUACCACAGGCUGGGGAUUUAGCUCAGUGGUUCCACCGCCUGCCUUGCAAGCACAAGGACCUGAGUUCGAUCCCUAGUACCCCUUCCCCCCCCCCCAAAAAUUGCUACCAUGAUACUGAAGGAAGAUCAGGCCUUUUUUAAGCUUUUUUUUUUUUUUUUUGGUACCAGGGAUUGAACUUGGGUCCUUGGCUUGCGCAAUAGGCAGCGAAACCACUGAGCUAAAUCCCCCAGCCCAAGCCUUUUUUUUCUUUU